rnacentral:rRNA from 1 species
UACGGAGGGUGCGAGCGUUGUCCGGAAUCACUGGGCGUAAAGGGCGCGUAGGCGGCGCGGAAAGUCGUCGGUGAAAGCUCGGGGCUCAACCCUGAGUCUGCCGGUGAUACUCCCGCGCUCGAGCCCACUAGAGGCAGAUGGAAUUCCGGGUGUAGCGGUGGAAUGCGUAGAGAUCCGGAAGAACACCGGUGGCGAAGGCGGUCUGCUGGGGUGAGGCUGACGCUGAUGCGCGACAGCGUGGGGAGCAAACAGG